AUUGAACGCUGGCGGCAGGCCUAACACAUGCAAGUCGAACGAGUGGCGGACGGGUGAGUAAUGUCUGGGAAACUGCCCGAUGGAGGGGGAUAACUACUGGAAACGGAAGUUAAUACCGCCUACCAUAGGAUAUGCCCAGCGGGGAUUAGCUAGUAGGUGGGGUAAAGGCUCACCUAGGCGACGAUCCCUAGUUGGUCGGAGAGGAUGACAAGCCACACUGGAAAUGAGACACGGUACAGACUCCUACGGGAGGCAGCAGUGGGGAAUAUUGCACAAGGGGCGCAAUCCUGCUGCAGCCAUGCCGAGUGUAUGAAGGAGGCCUUCGGGUUGUAAAGUACUUUCAGCGAGGAGGCGUUACUCGCAGAAUAAGCACCGGCUAACUCCGUGCCAGCAGCCGCGGUAAUUC
rnacentral:rRNA from 1 species